GGGGAGAGGACCUCGCAAACCUGGGAACUGCCUUACUGUCCGGCAGGAGUUAUUGAGGUUGCCAGGAUCUGGCUGAGGAUUUUCGAUCGCAGGAGAUUGAUGGGCAGGCGUUGUUGUUGCUGAAGGAGGAGCAUCUCAUGAGCACAUUGAACAUUAAAUUGGGACCUGCGUUGAAGAUCUGUGCCAAAAUUAACCUCCUCAAAGAGUCCUAACCUCCCUAUUAUUACACCAAGCAUGAGAGGAACAGCACCAACAAGGAGUGCAGAGGGUUGCACCAACAGAUUUCUAGCUGAAUCGGGGCUAGAGAGCUCCUAAUUGUGGCAUCAUCUGUCUCCACAUCUGCUCUGGACUCUCAUUUAUCAUCUCCUUGAUUAUUACUCUUUAAAUAUAUAUCUUCUAUACGUCUGUAUCUAUUUACAUGUGUGUUUCCAAUCGGUGACUGCACAUUACUGCAGAAUGGUGCCUCUUUUCUAUAGACGUGUGCAGGCCAAAGUCUGUAUAAUAAUCUUGAAAUAAAUCAGACGUUUGUCUGAAAGGAAGAGAGUCCUAAUAGGUGGGGUGACAGAGGAUUCUCUAUGUGGAUUUGUUAAUAGAGGUACAGGGACCUUAUCAAGCUUCCUACCUGUGCGUUACUGAAUGUAUGUAGGUUAUAUGGGUAGCCUUAAUGCAACACUACUUUGUACCCUUAGCGCUGUUUGUCCUUGCAGUGCUCACUAGGUAAAUAAUCCAGCGUUCCUUGUAUUCCAGACUGUUACUUGUGGAGUCUGAGCCUUAAUAUUCUGCUGGACCACACAGUACUCACAGAUUAGUAUUACACCAUCUACAAUGGUGAUUCCUUCUUGGCACUUAGCAAUUUUAGUACCUGCAUUGCUCUUAAGGAGCCUGUGCUGUAAUAUAAACCUCCAGCUCCUUUUUUCUAUCUAUUAUAUAUGCUUUUAUGUAAGAGCUCUGCAGGAUAAGGAAGAGAGAAUUGGUUUGUUAUAUUUUGUCAGCACUUGAACACAUUGAAAUAAAGGUAUUGAUCAUUUAGACCGUAGGGUCACUCUAUAUCAAA